AGAGUUUGAUCCUGGCUCAGGAUGAACGCUGGCGGCGUGGAUAAGGCAUGCAAGUCGAACGGAUUAGUCCAAAGAAGUAUGAAUUAAGAUGCGAUUACAUCAAGUCAAGAUGAUUAUGGAUUUGGGUUACUAAUUAGUGGCGAACGAGGUAGUAAUAUAUAGGAACAUCCCCCAAAGUCGUGAAUAAUCCGGCGAAAGCCGGACUAAUACACGAUGGUCCCGCAAGGGUAAAGAUUUAUCGCUUUGGGAAUGGCCUGUACGGUAUCAGCUUGUUGGCAGUGUAAAAGACUACCAAGGCUAUGACGCCUAGGGGAGCUGAGAGGCUGACCCCCACCGAUGGGACUGAGACACGGCCCAUACACCUACGGGUGGCUGCAGUCGAGAAUCUUCCGCAAUGGACGCAAGUCUGACGGAGCGACGCCGCGUGAUUGAUGAAGUCCCUUUGGGACGUAAAGAUCUUUUAUGAGGGAAGAAGUUUAUUGACUGUACCUCAUGAAUAAGAGGCUCCUAAUCUCGUGCCAGCAGGAGCGGUAAUACGAGAGCCUCAAGCGUUAUCCGGAAUUAUUGGGCGUAAAGGGUGCGUAGGUUGUUUUGUUAGUCUUUUGUCAAAUCCCGGGGCUUAACUUCGGGGUCGCAAAAGAAACGGCAAAACUAGAAAGUGUGAGAGGCGUACGGAACUCAUGGUGUAGGGGUGAAAUCCGUUGAUAUCAUGGGGAACACCGAAAGCGAAAGCAGUACGCUGGCGCAUGUUUGACACUGAAGCACGAAAGCGUGGGUAGCGAAUGGGAUUAGAUACCCCAGUAGUCCACGCCCUAAACGAUGAUCUCUCGGUUUUCGGAGUAUCGACCCUCUGAGAGCCUUAGCUAACGCGUUAAGAGAUCCGCCUGGGAAGUACGGCCGCAAGGCUAAAACUCAAAUGAAUUGACGG
rnacentral:rRNA from 1 species